GCCUUCGUGGUGUAGUAGUCAGCGCGCUCGGGACGUAUUCGAGAGGUCGGUGGUUCGAGUCCCCGCGAGGGCA
rnacentral:tRNA from 1 species